rnacentral:sRNA from 1 species
AAAAUCUCAGAUAUAUUACUUAGAUCCUUUAUUUUCAUUUUGAAAUUUAACCAUUGCCUUUGGUUGACUGUCAACUAUUGUGAUGCCUAAUGGAACACAUUUUAUAAAGGUAGUUAAACAUUAUAUAUAUAUAUAUUUCUAAACAAUUAUUUCUUUUAUUUGUUUAGUAUAUAGCCCACCUGUGUUUCCUAGCUUUUGGCACCCUAUUAGUCCAUGCACCUAUUAUACACUCAGAGAUUGACUAUGUAUUGUUGUGUCCUCUGGUGUUACUUGUACUCAAGUUGUAGAUGUUGCAAUUAGAUACUUCUGUUUGGUUUUUGGUUCCACAUUUCACUGUACUUCUUGUCAAAUCAGCUUAGCAAACUGGUAAGACCACAAUGAAAGAAAAAAUUGAAUACAUUUGGUUUCCAUUGUUGAAUGAUGACAUUCUGUUCUCAGCAUUGUCUGUUACUUUCUCUCUGUAUCUUUGUGUGAAUUUUGUUUGUUGGUUAAUGAAUCAUUGACUAGAACUACACAUUCCUGUAUGAAACAAACUGUAAGGCUCAUGUCUAACUAAGCAGGGCCUUGAGUUCUUGGUUUUAUCAAUUUAAAAAAAAAUAUUUAUUAGUAGGUGGUUAGACUUUAAAAACUAAUUGUGACAAAAGCAAUUAGCUUAUGCAAUGUAUAUUUGUACGAUUAUAAACAAAAUUGAUUUAGUGGUCCUAAUAAAUGUGGCAUCCUCUAAAAGGGGAACAACUGGUAUAUUGUUGAAAUUGUCUAGGUAAUCAAGCAUUUUUGUUUUGUAAAGAUGUCAAUUGUAUUUAUUUACACUUUGUAUAUAAAAGAUGAUAAUGUGCUGGCUACAUGUUCAGUCCAAUUUUGUUGUAGCCAUGUUCAUUGUCACUCUAAGAAUAUUCAUUAUAACGAGCUUUGAUUGUUAGGCUGCUUGAAUCUAAUGAGAUCGUUAUUGGUUCAAAGAUCUCAGUAUGUUUAUGAUAAACUAAUAGUAGAGCGUGUCUUUUAGUUCAAUAAUAAUGCAAGCUAUGAGAUUGUAACUCGUCAGACCUCAUAAUUACUAUUUGAUUUUAUGUUGUUAUUUUUUUAUUUGACAAAAUUUGAGUUCAAUACCUCAAUGACUGUGCUGCUUUGUUGAUACAAUCAUUCUGAAUGUUUAAGUUAUAAACUAGCUGUUACUGUUGCUGUACUAAUAAUAGCAUGGAGUUGUAUACAUUUUGUUGAAGAAAAACAAAUUGAGUGUCUGCUAGUGUUGACCAGAAAAAAAAAAUGGACUUGAGUGUCUGCUAGUGUUGACCAGAAAAAAAAAUGGACUUGAGUGUCUGGUAGUGUUGAC